rnacentral:rRNA from 1 species
CCUACGGGGGGCUGCAGUGGGGAAUUUUGGACAAUGGGGGCAACCCUGAUCCAGCCAUGCCGCGUGCGGGAAGAAGGCCUUCGGGUUGUAAACCGCUUUCGGCCGGAACGAAAUCGCCGGGGAGAACAUCCCCGGUGGAUGACGGUACCGGAAGAAGAAGCACCGGCUAACUACGUGCCAGCAGCCGCGGUAAUACGUAGGGUAAGUGCUGUAAUCGGAAUUACUGGAGGCGGUGCGUGCGCAGGCGGUUGAAAUCCCCGGGCUUAACCUGGGAACUGCGUUUGUGACUGGCGGGCUGGAGUGCGGAAGAGGGAGGUGGAAUUCCACGUGUAGCAGUGAAAUGCGUAGAGAUGUGGAGGAACACCGAUGGCGAAGGCAGCCUCCUGGUCUAGCACUGACGCUCAUGCACGAAAGCGUGGGGAGCAAACAGGAUUAGAUACCCCAGUAGUC